GUGUGCAAACUUGAUCUCAUUACUUAUGUUAAUAAAUGCUUAGAGUUAGGUGAUGGUUAGAGUUAGGUUAGGGUAGUGAAUAUGCUUGUUAUAUUGUGGUUGUGGUGGUGAUGAAUGCUUCUGAUAACUCUCAAAUCUGAUUAAUGCGUGUUAGGAGAGUCUGCUUGGUAAUAAAUUUGUUAGAGUUAAGGCAAUCAAAUC
rnacentral:lncRNA from 1 species